AGUCAGAACCUUGCCCAUUGGUUUACAUAUGUGUGGCCGCAAAUAUCUGAAACUUAAUGCCAGUUCAACAGGUUUGUUGGCAAGGGUGUCAGGUCGUUGCUUUGUGUUGAAUCGGCCUUUUCUCAAUUCUUAAGAAUUUAAUUGGAAUGCACCUGACCAGUGCUGCUUUGUGGUGCUUGCCACCAGUCCCUUGGACAGGGAAGACAUAUGAGAAUCCCUGUGCAUACACUUUAUACGCAGUGGUGUGACCGCUUCCUUUGGGAAACUACCACGUUAGCGAUAUUGUGAGCGCAAUGUGACUUUCCUUCAUCUUCCUCAUCCGUACGUAGUGUGUGUCGCUUCUUCCUCGCCAUAGCUCUAGCUCGGCAAGAAUAAAGCGGUUCCUUAGAAGUGGUGGAGGUGCUGGGGUUCUGCAUACCAAGGACGUAUAAGGUCACAAAGCUGCACCCAGGUAGAGGCAGAAUCCAAAAAUGCUUGUGUACUUCAAGUAUAGCUGCACAUUACAGAAUCCGAGGCCCUCAAGAUUUAUCCGUAGCCCUCGUGUAGCCCACGAGUUCCAUAUUUUUUAUUGGGAUUGAAGAGUAACGUUUGUGCUGUAUCCCUCUAUUUCAGACUAAAUAAUGUGCAUGCAAAAUUAUAUCUUCAUUACUUUACACCAUUGCACCAAUAUCUGUUCUGCGUUGAUUUUCUGAUGUCCUUGCAUUUGCUAUAGCAAGGAUUUUUAAAAAUCAGCCACAAAAGAAAAAAUAAAUGGUCAAGGAACGAAGUGGUGUGUAGCAGCUCCAUUUUUUUUAAUCGGCGGCAAGUUUUGCACUCGUGUGUUAGCAACACUGUUUCGCCAGUUGUGUACUUCAAAAGAAGUGUUACCUUUCUGCUUUGGAACUUUGCGAUUUUGUUCUGCCAGCUGCUUGACCAACACAAGCAAAAUGUACUUUGGAUAUUCCACAAAUUCAUUCUGUAUGCAUUUGGUACAAUAAAAUUUGUUUCAAGAAUGGACAAA
rnacentral:lncRNA from 1 species